AGAAAACAAAACAAAAACUUUAAAAAAACAGAAAUCAAAACGGGGAGAGGGGGUGCCGCUUACUUUUUUGGGCCUCUGUUCUGGACCAGGAU